rnacentral:rRNA from 1 species
GAUGGACGCUGGCGGCGUGCCUAACACAUGCAAGUCGAGCGAUUCUCUUCGGAGAAGAGCGGCGGACGGGUGAGUAACGCGUGGGUAACCUGCCCUGUACACACGGAUAGCAUACCGAAAGGUAUGCUAAUACGAGAUAAUAUGCUUUUAUCGCAUGGUAGAAGUAUCAAAGCUUUUGCGGUACAGGAUGGACCCGCGUCUGAUUAGCUAGUUGGUAAGGUAACGGCUUACCAAGGCGACGAUCAGUAGCCGACCUGAGAGGGUGAUCGGCCACAUUGGAACUGAGACACGGUCCAAACUCCUACGGGAGGCGGCAGUGGGGAAUAUUGCACAAUGGGCGAAAGCCUGAUGCAGCAACGCCGCGUGAGCGAUGAAGGCCUUCGGGUCGUAAAGCUCUGUCCUCAAGGAAGAUAAUGACGGUACUUGAGGAGGAAGCCCCGGCUAACUACGUGCCAGCCGCCGCGGUAA